UACGUAGGGGGCAAGCGUUGUCCGGAAUCAUUGGGCGUAAAGCGCGUGUAGGCGGUCCGGUAAGUCAGCUGUGAAAGUCGGGGGCUUAACCCUCGGAUGCCGGUGGAUACUGUCGGGCUUGAGUACGGAAGAGGCGAGUGGAAUUCCUGGUGUAGCGGUGAAAUGCGCAGAUAUCAGGAGGAACACCAAUUGCGAAGGCAGCUCGCUGGGACGUUACUGACGCUGAGACGCGAAAGCGUGGGGAGCAAACAGG
rnacentral:rRNA from 1 species